rnacentral:rRNA from 1 species
UGGGGAAUAUUGCACAAUGGAGGGAACUCUGAUGCAGCGACGCCGCGUGAGUGAUGAAGGACUUCGUUUCGUAAAACUCUGUUCUAUGGGAAGAAAAGGACUGUACCAUAGGAGAAAGCUCCGGCUAAAUACGUGCCAGCAGCCGCGGUAAUACGUAUGGAGCGAGUGUUGUCCGGAAUUAUUGGGCGUAAAGGGUGCGCAGGCGGCUUUACAAGUUGGAUGUGAAAUAUUGUGGCUCAACCACAAACGUGCAUCCAAAACUGCAAAGCUUGAGUUAAGGAGAGGUAAGUGGAAUUCCUGGUGUAGCGGUGGAAUGCGUAGAUAUCAGGAGGAAUACCGGUGGCGAAGGAGACUUACUGGACUUAAACUGACGCACAGGCAUGAAAGCGUGGGGAGCAAACAGG